rnacentral:tRNA from 1 species
GGGGGUGUAGCUCAGUCGGGAGAGCGCCUGCUUUGCAAGCAGGAGGUCAUCAGUUCGAUCCUGUUCACCUCCACCA